UGCCACCGCCCCAACCACCUUCCGC
rnacentral:misc_RNA from 1 species